UUUGGGCCGAUCCAGAUCCGCGUAACUAGAGGUUUAGGGCUUCGGGUUCGAAACUCCAGAUCCUUCGCUCUCCUUGUGCAGGCCAUUAAACCCCACGAACACGAAACCCCUCCUUCCCUCCAGGCUUCUUCAGUCCUUAAUUCACUUGGUAACGCAUGUACUUGCAGAAACACAUAAGACCCCAGUAGCUGCGGAAUUAUCGAACCAUGAGUAGCUGGAAGAGUCUGCUUUUGCGGAUCGGUGACCAGUGCCCCGAGUAUGGCACCAGCUCCGAAGUUAAAGACCACAUUGAAACAUGCUUAUCGGCUCUUCGGCGGGAAUUGGAACACUCUCGUGAUGAUAUUUUGACGUAUGUUCUCCAAUGCGCUGAGCAGAUACCUCACAAAAUUCCUUCAUAUGGGACAGUGGUUGGCUUAUUGAAUUUGGAGAGUGAGGACUUUGUUAAAAAGUUGGUGGAGAGUACUCAAACUGCUUUUCAGGGUGCCUUGGAUUCUGGAAAUAGUGACAAGAUUCGUAUCUUGAUGCGGUUUUUGACUGUUAUGAUGUGCAGUAAAAUCUUGCAACCUGGUUCUCUGGUGAUUGUGUUUGAAACACUACUAUCUUCUGCUGCUACAACAGUGGAUGAGGAGAAAGGAAAUCCCUGCUGGCAACCAAGAGCUGACUUUUAUGUUGCUUGUAUUUUAUCAUGUCUUCCAUGGGGUGGAUUAGAAUUGUUCGAGCAAGUUCCUGAGGAGAUUGAGAGAGUAAUGGUUGGCGUAGAAGCCUAUUUGAGCAUUAGGAGGCACGUCUCUGAUGCUGGUUUAUCGUUUUUUGAAGAUGGUGAUGAAACUGGAAACGAUGUUGUCGAAAAGGAUUUCUUGGAAGAUUUAUGGAGUCGGAUACAAGUUCUAUCGAACAAUGGGUGGAAAGUUGACAGUGUUCCAAGACCUCACCUUUCAUUUGAAGCUCAACUGGUCGCUGGAAAGUCACAUGAGCUUGGGCCUAUCAGCUGUCCAGAGCAGCCACAUCUGCCCUCUCAAUUUUCUGCAACAAUUUAUGGUCAACAAAAGCAUGAGGCAGAGUUGAAGUAUCCUCUAAGGAUACACAGGCUAAAUAUAUUUCCUGCAAGUAAAACUGAGGAUCUUCAGCCUAUAGAUCGCUUCAUCAUUGAAGAGUAUCUGCUGGAUGUUCUGCUGUUCUUCAAUGGCUGUCGAAAGGAAUGUGCUUCAUUCAUGGUCAGUUUACCUGUGCCGUUCCGCUAUGAGUAUCUUAUGGCAGAGACAAUAUUCUCUCAGUUACUUCUGCUACCACACCCGCCAUUCAAGCCAAUAUAUUACACCUUGGUUAUUAUGGAUCUCUGCAAGGCUCUUCCUGGUGCCUUUCCCGCAGUGGUAGCUGGAGCAGUUCGUUCUCUUUUUGAGAAAAUGGCCGACAUAGAUAUGGAGUGUCAGACAAGACUUGUCCUUUGGUUUUCCCACCAUCUAUCUAAUUUUCAGUUCAUCUGGCCAUGGGAAGAAUGGGCUUUUGUCUUAGACCUUCCAAAAUGGGCUCCACAAAGGGUUUUUGUUCAAGAGGUUUUGGAGAGAGAAGUUCGUCUAUCAUACUGGGACAAAAUUAAGCAGAGCAUUGAGAAUGCACCUGCUUUGGAAGAGCUGCUUCCCCCAAGGGGUGGUCCAAAUUUCAGUUAUAGUGUCGAAGACGGUAGAGAAAGAACUGAAGAACAUGCACUCUCUGCAGAACUUAGCAGCAAGGUGAAAGGAAGGCAAACUGCCCGUGACAUAAUUUCUUGGGUUGAAGAAAGUGUAUUUCCUGUUCAUGGUUUUGAAACUACCCUGAAAGUGGUUGUACAAACUCUCCUUGAUAUUGGAUCAAAAAGUUUCACCCAUUUGAUCACUAUAUUGGAGAGAUAUGGCCAAGUCAUUGCAAGGAUCUGUCCUGAUCAUGAUAAGCAGGUGAUGCUCAUAGUUGAAGUGAGUUCUUAUUGGAAGAAUAAUACCCAAAUGACAGCUAUAGCCAUUGAUAGAAUGAUGGGUUAUCGCCUUAUAUCCAAUUUAGCUAUUGUGAGAUGGGUCUUCUCUCCUUUAAACAUUGAGCAGUUCCAUACAUCAGAUCGCCCUUGGGAGGUCCUAAGAAAUGCUGUUAGCAAGACAUAUAAUCGUAUCUCUGAUUUAAGAAGAGAGAUUGUCUCUCUUAAGAAGGGUGUAAUAUCAGCUAAAAAAACUCUUGCAAAGGCAAAAGCGGAGCUAGAUGCUGCUGAGCCUAAACUUACGCUGGUUGAUGGUGAACCCACUCUUGGUGAAAACUCUGCAAGGUUGAAACGUUUAAAAUCACAUCAUGACAGAGCAAAAGAAGAGGAGGCAUCUGUUCAGGACUCUUUAGAGACCAAGGAGGCUCUUCUUGUGCGAGCUGUUGAUCAAAUGGAGGCUUUGUUCCUCUCUUUGUUUAAAAGUUUCUCAGAUGUGUUGAUAGAACGCUUGCCUGAUGCAUCUAAAGUUGGAACAUUGCAAGCAUUAAAGGCUAUUCAUUUGGAUGAAAUGGCUGUUGAUCUGGAAGAGUCAUCAGCAAUGGAGGUGGUGAAUGAGAAUGGAAUGUCUAAGAAAAGUCAGUCAAAUGGUGGGAAGGCAAGCAAUGGCUAUGAUGUGGGCGAAAAGGAACAGUGGUGUUUAUCGACUUUGGGUUAUGUCAAGGCUUUCUCUAGACAAUAUGCUUCUGAGCUUGAUUUCUAAGUGCGAGGAGUGUUCUCCAACCAACUUGGAAGUGUACAUAAGCUUUGUGAAAAUUGAUUUCGAGCCUGCUACUAAAUAUACAAAAUUUGAUCCAGUUCCCAGUAAUUAGCUCAUGAGAUAUGGCCUCUCAUCGAGAAGUUGGACAUGGAGGCAUUCACAGAAGAUGCACAUCCUCUUUUCCGUAAUGCAGUUUACACAGGUCUGCGUCGACAAAAUUAAUGAGAUUCAAAAUAGGUUAAAUAUUUGUCUAUUUUCGUUUAUUGUUGUAACACGUUCAUGGCUUUUUGAGUGCAUUACCAAUUUUUCCUCAUCUUAUUUUCCCUCCCUCUUUCCCUCAUCGUCUUUCAUUUGUAAAUGUAUUAGAUGGAAACUAAACGUUGUCAUCAUGACUGAAAAAAUCAGUGGAAGUGACCAAAAGUUUGAUA